GCGGGUAUGGCGGAAUUGGCAGACGCGCUAGAUUCAGGUUCUAGUGAGAUUACUCUCGUACAGGUUCAAGUCCUGCUACCCGCACCA
rnacentral:tRNA from 1 species